GGCUGUGGCUCAGUGGUGGAGCACUCACCUAGCACAGGUGGGGCCCUGGGUUCGAUCCUCAGCACGACA
rnacentral:tRNA from 1 species